GCAACGAGCGCAACCCUUGUUUGCUGUUGCCAUCACGUUAUGGUGGGCACUCUGCAAAGACUGCCGGUGAUAAACCGGAGGAAGGUGGGGAUGACGUCAAGUCAGCAUGGCCUUUAUGUCUGGGGCUACACACGUGCUACAAUGGCCGGUACAAACCGUCGCGAUACCGCAAGGUGGAGCUAAUCGGAGAAAGCCGGUCUCAGUUCGGAUCGUAUGUGGAGCUCUCCCUGCGUGAAGUUGGAAUCGCUAGUAAUCGC
rnacentral:rRNA from 1 species